rnacentral:rRNA from 1 species
AGUAAAUAGAUACCCCGGUAGUCCACGCCCUAAACGAUGUCAACUAGGUGUUGGGUGGGUAAAACCCAUUUAGUACCGUAGCUAAACGCGUGAAAGUUGACCGCCUGGGGAGUACGGCCGCAAGGUUAAAACCUCAAAGGAAUUGACGGGGACCCGCACAAGCGGUGGAUGAUGUGGAUUAAUUCGAUGCAAACGCGAAAAACCCUUACCUACCCUUGACAUGUCCAGAAGCCUGAAGAGAUUUAGGUGUGCCCGAAAGGGAGCUGGAACACAGGUGCUGCAUGGCUGUCGUCAGCUCGUGUCGUGAGAUGUUGGGUU